GGUGGCGAAGGCGGAUCUCUGGGCCGAUACUGACGCUGAGGAGCGAAAGCGUGGGGAGCGAACAGGAUUAGAUACCCUGGUAGUCCACGCCGUAAACGUUGGGAACUAGGUGUGGGUCACAUUCCACGUGGUCCGUGCCGCAGCUAACGCAUUAAGUUCCCCGCCUGGGGAGUACGGCCGCAAGGCUAAAGCUCAAAGGAAUUGACGGGGGCCCGCACAAGCGGCGGAGCAUGUGGCUUAAUUCGACGCAACGCGAAGAACCUUACCAAGGCUUGACAUACAUCGGAAACUGGCAGAGAUGUCAGCCCCCUUGUGGUCGGUGUACAGGUGGUGCAUGGCUGUCGUCAGCUCGUGUCGUGAGAUGUUGGGUUAAGUCCCGCAACGAGCGCAACCCUUGUUCUGUGUUGCCAGCGGGUUGCCGGGGACUCACAGGAGACUGCCGGGGUCAACUCGGAGGAAGGUGGGGACGACGUCAAGUCAUCAUGCCCCUUAUGUCUUGGGCUGCACACGUGCUACAAUGGCCGG
rnacentral:rRNA from 1 species